rnacentral:tRNA from 1 species
UGGCGUAGUGGUAACGCGCCCCAACUAGAGAUCGGGGAGUCGUGGGUUCGAUUCUCAC